rnacentral:rRNA from 1 species
CCUACGGGUGGCUGCAGUGGGGAAUAUUGCACAAUGGGGGGAACCCUGAUGCAGCAACGCCGCGUGGGUGAAGAAGUACUUCGGUAUGGAAAGCCCUGUCAGCAGGGAAGAAAAUGACGGUACCUGACCAAGAAGCCCCGGCGUACGACGUGACAGCAGCCGCGGGAAUACGUAGGGGGCAAGCGUUAUCCGGAUUUACUGGGGGUAAAGGGGGCGUAGACGGCAAGGCAAGUCUGGAGUGAAAGCCCGUGGCUCAAACACGGGACUGCUUUGGAAACUGUGUUGCUGGAGUGCAGGAGGGGUAAGCGGAAUGCCUAGUGUAGCGGUGAAAUGCGUAGAUAUUAGGAGGAACACCGGUGGCGAAGGCGGCGUACUGGACUGUAACUGACGUUGAGGCUCGAAGGCGUGGGGAGCAAACAGGAUUAGAUACCCCGGUAGUC